rnacentral:rRNA from 1 species
ACGGAGGGUGCGAGCGUUGUUCGGAAUUAUUGGGCGUAAAGCGAGUGUAGGCGGUUUGUCAGGUCGGGUGUGAAAGCCCGGGGCUCAACCCCGGAAUUGCGCUCGAAACCGACAUGACUAGAGUACGGGAGAGGGUUGCGGAAUUGUCGGUGUAGAGGUGAAAUUCGUAGAUAUCGGCAAGAACACCAGCGGCGAAGGCGGCAACCUGGAUCGAUACUGACGCUCAGACUCGAAAGCGUGGGGAGCAAACAGG